CAGUAGCCGCGGUAAUACGAAGGGUGCAAGAGUUACUCGGAAUUACUGGGCGUAAAGCGUGCGUAGGCGGUUUGUUAAGUCUGUCGUGAAAGCCCUGGGCUCAACCUGGGAAUUGCGAUGGAUACUGGCAAGCUAGAGUACGGUAGAGGAUGGUGGAAUUCCCGGUGUAGCGGUGAAAUGCGUAGAGAUCGGGAGGAGCACCCGUGGCGAAGGCGGCCAUCUGGACCAGUACUGACGCUGAGGCACGAAAGCGUGGGGAGCAAACAGGAUUAGAUACCCCCUGUAGUCCCUGUCUCUUAUA
rnacentral:rRNA from 1 species